rnacentral:rRNA from 1 species
AUUGAACGCUGGCGGCAGGCCUAACACAUGCAAGUCGAGCGGAUGAGGAAAGCUUGCUUUUCGAUUCAGCGGCGGACGGGUGAGUAAUGCCUAGGAAUCUGCCUGUUAGUGGGGGAUAACUCGGGGAAACUCGGGCUAAUACCGCAUACGUCCUACGGGAGAAAGUGGGGGAUCUUCGGACCUCACGCUAACAGAUGAGCCUAGGUCGGAUUAGCUAGUAGGUGAGGUAAUGGCUCACCUAGGCGACGAUCCGUAACUGGUCUGAGAGGAUGAUCAGUCACACUGGAACUGAGACAUGGUCCAGACUCCUACGGGAGGCAGCAGUGGGGAAUAUUGGACAAUGGGCGAAAGCCUGAUCCAGCCAUGCCGCGUGUGUGAAGAAGGUCUUCGGAUUGUAAAGCACUUUAAGUUGGGAGGAAGGGUAUUCACCUAAUACGUGGGUACUUUGACGUUACCAACAGAAUAAGCACCGGCUAACUCUGUGCCAGCCGCCGCUGUAAUAC